rnacentral:rRNA from 1 species
GAUGAACGCUAGCGGCAGGCUUAACACAUGCAAGUCGAGGGGCAGCGCGGGAUAGCAAUAUCCUGGCGGCGACCGGCGGAAGGGUGCGUAACGCGUGAGCGACAUGCCCGUUGCCCGGGGACAACCGGUGGAAACGCCGACUAAUCCCCGAUGGGAUAUUGUGCCGCAUGGCACGAUAUUGAAAGUUACGGCGGCGACGGAUUGGCUCGCGUCCGAUUAGCUUGUUGGCGGGGUAACGGCCCACCAAGGCUGCGAUCGGUAGGGGUUCUGAGAGGAAGGCCCCCCACAAUGGGACUGAGACACGGGCCAUACUCCUACGGGAGGCAGCAGUGAGGAAUAUUGGUUAAUGGGCGGAAGCCUGAACCAGCCAUGCCGCGUGCGGGAAGGAGGCCCUAUGGGCUGUGAACCGCUUUUGCCUGGGGGCAAUAAGGGCGUCGCGCACGUCCGAUGAGAGUACCAGGCGAAUAAGCAUCGGCUAACUCCGUG